rnacentral:rRNA from 1 species
CGCCCCGGAUGGGCACUGGCAGACGGGUGAGUAACGCGUGGCAACAUACCCUUUCCUGCGGAAUAGCUCCGGGAAACUGGAAUUAAUACCGCAUACGCCCUACGGGGGAAAGAUUUAUCGGGGAAGGAUUGGCCCGCGUUGGAUUAGCUAGCUGGAGGGGUAAAGGCCUACCAAGGCGACGAUCCAUAGCUGGUCUGACAGGAUGAUCAGCCACAUUGGGACUGACACACGGCCCAAACUCCUACGGGAGGCAGCAGAGGGGAAUAUUGCACAACGGGCGCAAGCCUGAUCCAGCCAUGCCGCGCGAGUGAUGAAGGCCUUAGGGUUGUAAAGCUCUUUCACCGAUGAAGAUAAUGACGGUACUCGGAGAAGAAGCCCCGGCUAACUUCGUGCCAGCACCCGCGGUAAUACGAAGGGGGCUAGCGUUGAUCGGAAUUACUGGGCGUAAAGCGCACGUAGGCGGAUAUUUAAAUCAGGGGUGAAAUCCCGCAGCUCAACUGCGGAACUGCCUUUGAUACUGGGUAUCUUGAGUAUGGAAGAGGUAAGUGGAAUUCCGAGUGUAGAGGUGAAAUUCGUAGAUAUUCGGAGGAACACCAGUGGCGAAGGCGGCUUACUGGUCCAUUACUGACGCUGAGGUGCGAAAGCGUGCGGAGCAAACAGGAUUAGAUACGUUGGUAGUCCACUCUGUAAACGAUGAAUGUUAGCCGUCGGGCAGUAUAUUGUUUGGUGGCGCAGCUAACGCAUUAAACAUUCCGCCUGGGGAGUACGGUCGCAAGAUUAAAACUUAAAGGAAUUGACGGGGGCCCGCACAAGCGGUGGAGCAUGUGGUUUAAUUAGAAGUAACGCGCAGAACCUUACCAGCUCUUGACAUUCGGGGUAUGGGCAUUGGUGAUGAUGUCGUUCAGUUAGGCUGGCCCCAUAACAGGUGGUGCAUGGUUGUUGUCAGCUAGUGUAGUGAGAUGUUGGGUUAAGUCUCGCAACGAGCGCAACCCUCGUCCCUUAGUUGCCAGCAUUUAGUUGGGCGCUUUAAGGGGACUGCCGGUGAUAAGCCGAGAGGAAGGUGGGGAGUGACGUCAAGUCCUCAUGGCCCUUUCGGGCUGGGUUACACUCGUGCUACAAUGGUGGUGUCAGUGGGCAGCGAGACAGUGAUGUCGAGGUAAUCUCCAAAAGCCAUAUCAGUUGGGAUUGCAUUAUGCAACUGGCGUGCAUGAAGUGGGAAUCUCUAGUAAUAGCUGAUCAGCAUGGUGCGGUGAAUACUUUCCCGGGCAUUGUACACACCGCCCGUCACACCAUGGGAGUUG